rnacentral:rRNA from 1 species
UACGUAGGGGGGCAAGCGUUGUCCGGAAUUAUUGGGCGUAAAGAGCACGUAGGCGGUUAGAUAAGUUGGAUGUGAAAGGCUACGGCUCAACCGUAGAGCGGCAUCCAAAACUGUUUAACUUGAGUGCAGCAGAGGAGAGUGGAAUUCCCGGUGUAGCGGUGGAAUGCGUAGAGAUCGGGAGGAACACCAGUGGCGAAGGCGACUCUCUGGCUGUAACUGACGCUGAGGUGCGAAAGCGUGGGAGCGACAGG